rnacentral:rRNA from 1 species
AUACGAAGGGUGCGAGCGUUAAUCGGAAUUACUGGGCGUAAAGCGCGCGUAGGCGGUUGGAUAAGUCGGAUGUGAAAGCCCCGGGCUCAACCUGGGAAUUGCAUUCGAAACUGUCCGGCUAGAGUAUGGUAGAGGGAAGCGGAAUUCCACAUGUAGCGGUGAAAUGCGUAGAUAUGUGGAGGAAAACCAGUGGCGAAGGCGGCUUCCUGGACCAAUACUGACGCUGAGGUGCGAAAGCGUGGGGAGCAAACAGGAUUAGAAACCCUAGUAGUCC